rnacentral:rRNA from 1 species
UCGAGCGGAGUUUUGAAAAGCUUGCUUUUCAAAACUUAGCGGCGGACGGGUGAGUAACACGUGGGCAACCUGCCCUUGAGACGGGGAUAACUCCGGGAAACCGGAGCUAAUACCGGAUAACACAUAUCUUCGCAUGAGGAUAUGUUAGAAGGUGGCUUUUAGCUACCACUCAAGGAUGGGCCCGCGGCGCAUUAGCUAGUUGGUGAGGUAACGGCUCACCAAGGCGACGAUGCGUAGCCGACCUGAGAGGGUGAUCGGCCACACUGGGACUGAGACACGGCCCAGACUCCUACGGGAGGCAGCAGUAGGGAAUCUUCCGCAAUGGACGAAAGUCUGACGGAGCAACGCCGCGUGAGUGAUGAAGGUUUUCGGAUCGUAAAGCUCUGUUGUUAGGGAAGAACAAGUACCUGUUAAAUAAGCAGGUACCUUGACGGUACCUAACCAGAAAGCCACGGCUAACUACGUGCCAGCAGCCGCGGUAAUACGUAGGUGGCAAGCGUUGUCCGGAAUUAUUGGGCGUAAAGCGCGCGCAGGCGGUUCCUUAAGUCUGAUGUGAAAGCCCACGGCUCAACCGUGGAGGGUCAUUGGAAACUGGGGAACUUGAGUGCAGAAGAGGAGAGCGGAAUUCCACGUGUAGCGGUGAAAUGCGUAGAGAUGUGGAGGAACACCAGUGGCGAAGGCGGCUCUCUGGUCUGUAACUGACGCUGAGGCGCGAAAGCGUGGGG